UGUUUCAUUGAUUCCCCAUUAUACCCUAUGACCGGAUCUCCGAGGUGGCUCCAAAGCUUCGGAGCUGCUUUGGCCAGAUCAAAGCGGGAACCCGGUCUGGAGUUCCAGAUUCAGAUCCCUGGCAUCAAAAGCAGCCAGAUCAAAUAGCUGUCUACUCCCACAGGCCUAGCAUUUACCUGCUUGGACAACUGGAACUUUAUUCCCUUCCAAAUUAUGUCCUUAUAACAGGUUAUGAUUGUGAUCUCCUGCAUGGUGCACAACAGCUACAAAGGCAGGGGAACACUUUCUAAUAGAGUGGACUUAGAACACCAAGAGACUCUUUAAUCCAAAGGUGUCAAACUCACCUUGGGCCCCAGGUCAGAUGCAGACUGGGGGGCUCCUUGUGGGCCAAAUCAAACCCAGGGACAAAGGCUGCUGCAGUGGCAACUAUGAUGGUGGUGGCACAGGCAGAAGCAGCAGUGCAGCAAUGGGGGUGCAUGGCUUGGCAGGCAUGAGAGACAGGGUCUGGUGAUGACAGGUUUUGGCAGGGGUGGUGCAGGAGGUGGUGGGGUAAGCAAAAGUAUGGGGUCUGGCUGCAGUGAGUCAAGCUUGCUGCCAGUGGCCAUGCUCACUGAGGCCAAAAGACCCAAAUUCCAGUGCCCUCUGGUAGCCUAGUAGGCUGGAUGGAGAAGGUUCAUGGAUCAAAUUAGUUGGUGGGCUGUAUGUUUAAUAACCUUGCCUUAACCAUUUCACACAACUGGAAAGUGCCCCUAUAAGCAAUACAGGCCCAGAAAUAGAACACCGGGGAUUCUGUAUGUGCUCACUUCUAUACUGUACCUAGCAUUUGGAAUGAAUGAUCAGUUGCUAAUGCAUGAGCUAUUUAGCUUAUGGAUAGAUACUAAAAAAAUAUGAUUUGGUACAUUAAUGGCAUUUGUUCAUCAGCGAGUGAUGGUGGAUAUUGCAGCUAUUCUAUUGGUUGGUGGUGCAUUUUCUUUUUGGCUGUAAAGACCAAUAUUAGACUUGCAGGUCCAACCACAGUGGUUACAGG